AAGAGUUAACAGGCGUGCUUUUUUUGAUUUUGUAGUGUAGAAAACCAUGCUACAGGCAGUGGGAGGAAGAGGGAGCAGUUGGGGCCCUGCCUCAUUUCUGUCUCAGUUUACCUUGCCCAGAAUGACCCCCACUCCCUUCACCCCUCCUCAUCCCUUGGAGGAAACAAAAGUUCUUUCUUCUGUUCCUGGCAUCUAGCAGGCUGGAAGGAGGAAACAAAGACACAAUGGCCGGUGGUUGAGCUGAGCUUGAAAAGGCCCUGCCUCAGGGGGCCCAGUGCCUGCCACAGCCCCAUCUAGGAGGCUGCUCCUGGCUAUUCAUUCAUUCAAUUUUUUUUUUCUGGAACAUAAGGCAAGGAGGAAGGGCAGAGCUCUACAGAACUGGAGGGGAAGCCAGAAAAAUGACUACAAUAAGAGGAGAGAAAAAUGCGUCUGUCCCACAUUGCUUUUGUACCUAACUCUAGGAUCACAGAAAUUUUGCAGGACAGAGAGAGAGACUAACUGAGAAAAGUUGAACAAAGCUCUUACCAGAGCUUCUACUACGUGGAAGGACAGAGAGUAUCUGGAGGGUGGAGGUGACUAUUUCUCUGAAGCAGAAAAGUGUUGACUCUUGGUUCUGGGAGAGAGGUUGGUAGGUGUCAUUGUCUUAGUCUGUUUGUGCUGCUAUCACAAAAUACCACAAAAAAUAGGGAUUUAUUUCUCACUGUUCCGGAGGCCGGGAAGUUCAAGAUCAAGCUGCUAGCAGGUUCAGUAUCUGCUUCCAAGAUAGUGCCCUGAACACUGCACAUCCGCCUGGUGGAAGAGCAGAUGAACUGAAAGGGUUGAACACUGUCCUUACCUGGUGAAAAAGCAGAAGGGAACAAGCCUACUUCCUCAAGCCCUUUUUUAAAGGCUCUAACCCCAUCCAUGAAGGUAGAAUUAAGUGAUCACUUCCUAAAGGCCCGACCACUUACCACUUUUGCAUUGGUAGUUAAGUAACAACAUAUGAAUUUGGGGACACGUAUUGGAUCUUAGCAGUUGUGGACACCAUUGUGCUACUUGAGCCUCCUGGGAACCCCUUUACUACUUCUCUCUGUGUAUCCCCCAGUUUUGAGUACUUUGCUGCUAAUGCUGUCAUCUGUGCCUUUUGGAAGGUUGUCUUGGGUGGUUGGAGCUGCCUUGUCUAACAGAAGCCAGAGGGCCUGGGGGUUUCAUGUUAUUCCCACCAAUUCCUCCCUUCCUAGCCCAGGACAGGUGUGGGAGUGCCGAAGCUCAGAUGCCCAAGGUGAGACGGUCUGACGCAUGGUUUAUGUUCCAGAUCUCCCCAUAAGAGCAGACUGAGGCUAGGGAUCCAUCUGAAAUGCGUUCCUUGCAUGACUUCUUCCUCUUCUGCAUCCUGCUUCCUCCUCUUUCUUACGGGUUUCUCCUUAUUUCUUUUCUAAUUCAUUAAGGAAUUCAUUAUUUAAUAAUGACCACUUACAUUUGAGUCCUGUUUCAGGUCAGAUUUUGAUUUGAUGAUAGCAGUGAAGCAGCCUUUUGUUUGAACCUAAGGAAGAUGUUCCAGUUAACAGCCCAAGUCCUCAAGAAAGAAGAGAGGCAGAGGGGAAUCAGCUUCAACCAGCCAUGACCUUGUGGGAACCAUGACGCCAGAGCAGAAUUAUAAUUUGGACCAGACCCAGGUCUCCCGUGGCAGGAAGAAGGGUGGAUGUUUAAGAGCAGAAUCUCCUGGAGCCCCUGAAAUCCUUUACACUGAAGUGAAAGGAACUGAAUGUAUUCCUCAUCUCAGGAUUGACCAUCUUCACCCAAUAGAGUGAUGAGAUUCCAACCCCAACAGCUGUGAACUUGAUUGAUGAUGCUCUGAGUACUGGAUUUGGGUUUUCUGUUGUGUAACACUACCACGUCACUUCAGCCUGAUACAAUCCACCUCUUCAGUGGCAGGCACCCCAG